GCGGGGGUGGCGGAACUGGUAGACGCGCAAGGCUAAGGACCUUGUGGCCGCAAAGCUGUGGGAGUUCAAGUCUCCCCCUCCGCACCA
rnacentral:tRNA from 1 species